CGUCGCGUUAGACGAGAGUUAGUAAGAUUCUGUUAAAUUUAGUUAAUUGAUUUUUUUUUUGAGUGAUUUAUCUUUAUUUUUUAGGUAAAAUUUGUAUAAUAAAAUAUUUUGACUCAAGACAAAUUUAAAGAUCUAAAAAGCUUGAAAUGAAAAACCAGGAUUAGAUACCCUGCUAUUUUUAAGUUAUUUUCCAAGGGUAGUAAAAGUCGUUCUUCAAACCCAAAGGUUUUGGCGGCAUUCUAACCAAACAGAGGAGCUUGUCCUUUAAUCGAUAAUCCCCGUUAAAUCUUGCCUUUACUUGUAGAGCUUGUAUACCUCCGUUGUCAGAUUACUUUAGAAGAAUGUUUUCAAUAAAAAUAAUUUUUUUACUUCAGGUCAAGGUGCAGUUUAUGUAAAGGUAGCGAUGAGCUACAAUUUAAUUUAAAAAUUAUGAAUAUUAAGUUUAAAAACUUUUGGAAGGUGGAUUUGUUAGUAAAUUUAUUUAAGUAUAAUUAUUUGAAUAAGGUAAUAGAAUGUGCACAUAUCGCCCGUCACUCUCUCCUUAAGGAGAGAUAAGUCGUAA
rnacentral:rRNA from 1 species